UGGAUUGUGACUCAGUGGUAGAGUGCUCACCUAGCACGUGUGUGGCCCUGGGUUUGAACCUCAGCAACACAU
rfam:Ictidomys tridecemlineatus contig103830, whole genome shotgun sequence.